UAGAGAACUCUUCCUUUAUUGUUUUGUUUUUGUGACUUUGAAAGAAACGAAAGUACUUUUCAGUGCCGUUGAGUCUGCAACUUGUCAUUUCCUGCCUCACCAUGUACACGAUUCAUGUGCUCUUCGUCCUUCUGUCAGUCUAUCUUUCAUUGCCGUGCAGAGCCCAAGCCAAAGCAGGAGUACAGUACAUGUAUGUGAGCUGGUCCAAGAUGCAGCUGCACGGUGAUCCGCCGACACCGCGGCGCCGAGGUCUGGUGUUACGCGACCUGCCCGAAGGGGUGGCGGAGCACUAUGUGGGCCUGACGCGGGAGGUGGUGCUGGACAACGACACUAGCGACAUCCUGCUGCCCAACGUGACGUGCGGCGACGCCGGCGAGUACGUCUGCUCGUUGCAGGCGCCCGUCGGAGAGUGGAUCCAAAGGGGGAUGGUGGUCCUCGAGCUGUCUGGUACGAAUUGCCGGAAACGAUCCUCAUACAGUUGUACCUUGAGUCCCCCAACUUAGGAGCUUUUAACUUUUUAACCAACAUUGUGGUUACGAGUGAAUCUCAGAUACACUACCGUGCGAGUGAAGUGGAAAAAAAAAUAGAGCAAUUAAGGUACUGUAAUUUAUCAGCAUUAUUACUGGUUCAAUAAAUGGUAGGUAUACGUGAAUAUUACUUGAAGCACUUUGUUGCUUUGUUAUUGUCUUGAUCUUAAUUCUUUGCACUUUAUUGCAUGAAUUGGAUGCCGGUUGUACGACCAAAUAUUUUGAAUGGUACUUACUUGGUCCCUGUGUUUUAUUUUAUUUAUUUGUGAUUGGGUUUUCUAUAUAAAAUAUGUUUUAGUAAAUAUGAAUAUGGCACCCAUCUCAUGUAAAAAAAAAAAAAAAAGGAAAAAUACUGUAUCGGGAUAUGUAUUGUUAUUGGGAUAUUCAAUUACCUAAUCAUAUAUCCUGGUGAUUUUCUCCAUAUUGCACAGCACAAGUUUGGCCUUCACAAUUUCGCUGAUUUCAGGCCAAAAUAAAAAAAGUUGUGAGGGAUAGUGUUUUUUUCUUCCAGUUUUGAGAUGUCUUGUUUUGUUGAUGGGCCUUGAAUGUACAAAGUGAAAGUGCAAGUACAACCCCAAUUCCAAUGAAUUAACUUUGAAUUUUAUGGCUGCAACACGUUCCAAAAAAGAUGGGCCAGGGUCAUGUUUACCACUGUGCUCCAUCACCUUUUCUUUUAAAAACAUUCAAUAAACAUUUGGGAACUGAGGAAUCUAAUUGUUGAAGCUUUGGAGGUGGAAUUCUUUCCCAUUCUUGCCUGAUGUACAGCUUCAGCUGUUCAACAAUCCGGGGUCUCCGUUGUUGUAUUUUAAGCUUCAUAAUGUGCCACACAUUUUCAAUGGGAGACCGGUCUAGACUGCAGGCAGGCCAAUCUAGUACCCGCACUCUCUUACUACGAAGCCACGCGCGCUGUUGUAACAUGGGCAGAAUAUGGUUUGGCAUUGUCUUGCUGAAAUAAGCAGGGGCGUCCAUGAAAAAGAUGUUGCUUGGAUGGCAGCAUAUGUUUCCCCAAAACCUGUAUGUACAUUUCAGCAUUAAUGGUGCCUUCACAGAUGUGUAGGUUACCCAUGCCAUUGGCACUAACCUAGAUGAUGAAUUCCCUAAAUUCUUUGCAAUUGUACGUUGAGGAACAUUGUCCUUAAACUGUUCGACUAUUUUCUCACACACUUGUUCACAAAGAGGUGAACCUCGCCCCAUCUUUGCUUCUGAAUGACUGCGCAAUUCAGGGAAGCUCCUUUUGUACCCAAUCAUGGGACCCACCUGUUCCCAAUUAGCCUGUUCACCUGUGGGAUCUUCCAAACAGGUGUUUGAUGAGCAUUCCUCAACUUUUUUUGCCACGUCUCAACUUCAUUGGAAUUGGGGUUGUAAAAGUUAUGUUUCUGCUUCUCUCCCGACGCGGUUUCAAAUAGCUGGUGCAGUCUGCCUGUAUUCGUUUACAUUCACUGUUGUAUUUAAAUGACAAAAGGUGAGUUUAGUGACUUAAGGGCUUGUGCAUAUAUUUGUUUGCCCAUGUGUGAUGUCACGUCAGUUUGUGCUGAUUUGUUAUUUAGGUUAGAAAGCUAGUUAAAAGGGCUAUUAUUGAUGAGCCUCAUGUGAAGUUGGUUUGCUUGUGUGGUAUAAUUACUGACUACAGUUAUUAAUAUAACAUGGGUUCAUGAUUGUGUACAGUACGUCUAGAUGUAUGGUGUUGAUCCUUUACGAUAUUCUCAGGUUUAAGUCCUUUGCUGCCAUCUCGUGGCACCAAUAUGCAGUUACAAACCCCUUUUCGGGGUGUGUCAAUUCGAAAUAGGAUUUUUCCCUAUUUUGCAAUAUGAUAUGGUGAUUUCUGUAUCUCCAUUUUUUCCCCCCUCCUUAUCAAAACACAAUAAUUUCGCUUUAACAAAACCGUUGUAAUAUUGAACAUCUACUUAUCUUUUAUGACCAAUUCCAGAUUGCAACUGACACUCCCGUCGGAAACGUAGACAAUCCGGUUGGAAACGUUGACAUUCCCGUUGGAAACCUAAGAAUGAAUGUUGAAAUUAACAUUUUGAUUUCCGCCGGGCUGACGCUUGUGCUGGUCUUCCUGGUGGUUUCUUGUUGUUUGAGAAAGCUCCAGCAUGACCAAAAGAAAGCGUGGCAAGCAGACGUCGCAUCACUUCAUGCUACGCUCAAGUCUCAGGAUGUGAUUCCAUUUUCGGGGUCCUAGUUCUCCGAAGACAACCACCAUAAAGCAAGCACACGGGUGUUCAAAGUCACACCGCUCCUAUUUGAAAUUGCUAACCACUAUAUGAAAAUACAAUAGGAAAGUCGCUCGUAAAAUAUAAUGCAAGGAGGAUGCUGGGUAAAACCAUACAGCUCCAUUUGAAUAUAUUUCAAUACGGUGGUGUAGUAUAAUUCUUUUUUUUUUUUUUUUUAAAGGGAGUUCCUGAUGAGUCACCAUACGGUAUGACAUAAAAGCAGAAGUUGAAAACAUUGUGUCACCUGUCCUGUACCAUCUGUCUAUUUUCUUAAAUGCUUAUCUUCAACUAGGGUCAUAAUUAUAAUUAUAUUAUAAAUAUAAUUAUAAUUAUAUUUAAGUAUUCAAGAUGUCACCUGCCCUGUAUUUUCCGAUACUAUGAUGUACUUGUGUCAGUGCUGAAGUCAUGUGUUGUCGUGGCCGAGUGGU